rnacentral:rRNA from 1 species
UAGGGGAUAACACUUGGAAACAGGUGCUAAUACCGGAUAACAACCAAAACCACCUGGUUUUGGUUUAAAAGACGGCUUCGGCUGUCACUUUAGGAUGGACCCGCGGCGCAUUAGCUUGUUGGUAAGGUAACGGCUUACCAAGGCGAUGAUACGUAGCCGACCUGAGAGGGUAAUCGGCCACAUUGGGACUGAGACACGGCCCAAACUCCUACGGGAGGCAGCAGUAGGGAAUCUUCCACAAUGGACGAAAGUCUGAUGGAGCAACGCCGCGUGAGUGAUGAAGGGUUUCGGCUCGUAAAACUCUGUUGUUGGAGAAGAACAGGUGUCAGAGUAACUGUUGACAUCUUGACGGUAUCCAACCAGAAAGCCACGGCUAACUACGUGCCAGCAGCCGCGGUAAUACGUAGGUGGCAAGUGUUGUCCGGAUUUAUUGGGCGUAAAGCGAGCGCAGGCGGUUUUUUAGGUCUGAUGUGAAAGCCUUCGGCUUAACCGGAGAAGUGCAUCGGAAACCGGGAGACUUGAGUGCAGAAGAGGACAGUGGAACUCCAUGUGUAGCGGUGAAAUGCGUAGAUAUAUGGAAGAACACCAGUGGCGAAGGCGGCUGU